UACGUAGGGGGCUAGCGUUGUCCGGAAUCAUUGGGCGUAAAGAGCGCGUAGGCGGCCAGAUAAGUCCGGUGUGAAAGUCACAGGCUCAACCUGUGAAUGCCGCUGGAAACUGUCUGGCUAGAGUCCGGAAGGGGCGAGUGGAAUUCCUGGUGUAGCGGUGAAAUGCGCAGAUAUCAGGAGGAACACCAAUGGCGAAGGCAGCUCGCUGGAACGGUACUGACGCUGUGGCGCGAAAGCCAGGGGAGCAAACGGG
rnacentral:rRNA from 1 species